rnacentral:rRNA from 1 species
UACGGAGGGGGCUAGCGUUGUUCGGAAUUACUGGGCGUAAAGCGUACGUAGGCGGCUUUGUAAGUUAGAGGUGAAAGCCCGGGGCUCAACCCCCGGAAUUGCCUUUAAGACUGCAUCGCUUGAAUCAUGGAGAGGUGAGUGGAAUUCCGAGUGUAGAGGUGAAAUUCGUAGAUAUUCGGAAGAACACCAGUGGCGAAGGCGACUCACUGGACAUGUAUUGACGCUGAGGUACGAAAGCGUGGGGAGCAAACAGG